AGAGUUUGAUCCUGGCUCAGAACGAACGCUGGCGGUAUGCCUAACACAUGCAAGUCGAACGGUAAGGCUCUUUUCGGAGAGUACACGAGUGGCGCACGGGUGAGUAACGCGUGAAUAAUCUGCCUGGAGCACAGGGAUAACUACUGGAAACGGUAGCUAAUACCUGAUAAUAUUCUUAGUAGUGAUACUUUGAAUCAAAGGGGUAACCCGGCAUCAGAUGAGUUCGCGUGCCAUUAGCUAGUUGGUGGGGUAAGAGCCCACCAAGGCGAAGAUGGCUAGCUGGUUUGAGAGGAUGAUCAGCCACACUGGAACUGAGACACGGUCCAGACUCCUACGGGAGGCAGCAGUGAGGAAUAUUGCGCAAUGGGGGGAACCCUGACGCAGCAAUACCGCGUGAGUGAAGAAGGCCCUCUGGGUUGUAAAGCUCUGUGGAGUGGGAAGAUAAUGACGGUACCACUCUAGAAAGCACCGGCUAACUACGUGCCAGCAGCCGCGGUAAUACGUAGGGUGCAAGCGUUGUUCGGAAUUACUGGGCGUAAAGCGGAUGUAGGCGGAACAUUAAGUCAGAUGUGAAAGCCCGGAGCUCAACUCCGGACGUGCAUUUGAAACUGGUGAUCUUGAAUAUGUUAUGGGAGCGUGGAAUUUCUAGUGUAGCGGUGAAAUGCGUAGAUAUUAGAAGGAACACUCGUGGCGAAGGCGACGCUCUAGGGCAAUAUUGACGCUGAGAUCCGAAAGCGUGGGUAGCAAACAGGAUUAGAUACCCUGGUAGUCCAUGCCGUAAACGAUGAGUGCUACUUGUUGGUUCUGUUGACGGAAUCAGUGGGGCAGCUAACGCAAUAAGCACUCCGCCUGGGGAGUACGGUCGCAAGAUUAAAACUCAAAGGAAUUGACGGGGGCCCGCACAAGCGGUGGAGCAUGUGGUUUAAUUCGAUGCAACGCGAAAAACCUUACCUGGACUUGACAUCCCACUGAAAGCCUCUAGAGACAGAGGCCCUCUUCGGACAGUGGUGACAGGUGCUGCAUGGUUGUCGUCAGCUCGUGCCGUGAGGUGUUGGGUUAAGUCCCGCAACGAGCGCAACCCUUGUCCAUAGUUGCCAUCAUUUAGUUGGGGACUCUAUGGAGACUGCCGGUGUUAAACCGGAGGAAGGCAAGGACGACGUCAAAUCAUCACGGCCCUUAUGUCCAGGGCUACACACGUGCUACAAUGGUGGGGACAAAGAGCAGCGAAGCAGCGAUGUGGAACAAAUCUCACAAACCCUA
rnacentral:rRNA from 1 species